rnacentral:miRNA from 1 species
AGCUAUUGAUGAGAAAAU